rnacentral:rRNA from 1 species
AGUGAACGCUGGCGGUAGGCCUAACACAUGCAAGUCGAACGGCAGCACAGUAAGAUCUUGCUCUUACGGGUGGCGAGUGGCGGACGGGUGAGGAAUACAUCGGAAUCUACUUUUUCGUGGGGGAUAACGUAGGGAAACUGACGCUAAUACCGCAUACGACCUACGGGUGAAAGCAGAGGAUCUUCGGACCUUGCGCGAUUGAAUGAGCCGAUGUCGGAUUAGCUAGUUGGUGUGGUAAAGGCACACCAAGGCGACGAUCCGUAGCUGGUCUGAGAGGAUGAUCAGCCACACUGGAACUGAGACACGGUCCAGACUCCUACGGGAGGCAGCAGUGGGGAAUAUUGGACAAUGGGCGCAAGCCUGAUGCAGCCAUACCGCGUGGGUGAAGAAGGCCUUCGGGUUGUAAAGCCCUUUUGUUGGGGAAGAAAAGCAGCAGGUUAAUCCCCCGAUGUUCUGACGGUACCCAAAGAAUAAGCCCCGGCUAACUUCGUG